CUGAGCUGUUUCCAGAUGAGAAGCAAACAUAUUCCAGGCUUUUUUGCUUCUGGAGAAACAGCACUAAUUCUUAGGCUCAUUCUGCUUUGGGAUUUUUAUUUUUGUUUUAACAAGAAGUCUCUUCAGCAGGGUUUUGCAGUCCUGCUCAGUGCCACAGCUGCUCAGCCCACAUCUGGGAAUAAGGACCCAGGUGGAGAAACAUUUGCUUUAUGGCUUCUGCCAGGACUCAGAUCAGGUCCAAGCACCAUCAUUGCCAAAGGCACACUUUUGGUAUGGACAGCAGCGGCAGAAGACUGAAUACAGCCUGUGAAGCACAUAACAAAAAUGAAAGUCUGAGAGCUGUUAGAAAAACUGACAGCUAUAUGCAUAUAUGUCAUUACCCAAGUACAAAACCAUC